AUUGAACGCUGGCGGCAGGCCUAACACAUGCAAGUCGAGCGGAUGAAGGGAGCUUGCUCCUGGAUUCAGCGGCGGACGGGUGAGUAAUGCCUAGGAAUCUGCCUGGUAGUUGGGGAUAACGUCCGGAAACGGGCGCUAAUACCGCAUACGUCCUGAGGUAGAAAGUUGGGGAUCUUCGGACCUCACGCUAUCAGAUGUGCCUAGGUCGGAUUAGCUAGUUGGUGGGGUAAAGGCCUACCAAGGCGACGAUCCGUAACUGGUAUGAGAGGAUGAUCAGUCACACUGGAACUGAGACACGGUCCAGACUACUACGGGAGGCAGCAGUGGGGAAUAUUGGACAAUGGGCGAAAGCCUGAUCCAGCCAUGCCGCGUGUGUGAAGAAGGUCUUCGGAUUGUAAAGCACUUUAAGUUGGGAGGAAGGGAAGUAAGUUAAUACCUUGCUGUUUUGACGUUACCAACAGAAUAAGCACCGGCUAACUUCGUG
rnacentral:rRNA from 1 species